rnacentral:rRNA from 1 species
CUGCUGGCGGAGAUCGGUACUGGACCUGCCUCCCACCCGUGUUUAUCGUACCUUGUUGCUUCGGCGGGCCCGCCGCAAGGCCGCCGGGGGGCAUCUGCCCUCUGGCCCGCGCCCGCCGAAGACACCAUUGAACGCUGUCUGAAGAUUGCAGUCUGAGCAAUUAGUUAAAUAACUUAAAACUUUCAACAACGGAUCUCUUGGUUCCGGCAUCGAUGAAGAACGCAGCGAAAUGCGAUACGUAAUGUGAAUUGCAGAAUUCAGUGAAUCAUCGAGUCUUUGAACGCACAUUGCGCCCCCUGGUAUUCCGGGGGGCAUGCCUGUCCGAGCGUCAUUGCUGCCCUCAAGCACGGCUUGUGUGUUGGGCUCCGUCCUCCUUCCGGGGGACGGGCCCGAAAGGCAGCGGCGGCACCGCGUCCGGUCCUCGAGCGUAUGGGGCUUCGUCACCCGCUCUGCAGGCCCGGCCGGCGCUUGCCGACACAUCAAUCUUUUUUCCAGGUUGACCUCGGAUCAGGUAGGGAUACCCGCUGAACUUAAGCAUAUCAAUAAGCGGAGGAA